rnacentral:rRNA from 1 species
GUGAAUCAUCGAAUCUUUGAACGCACCUUGCGCCCGCCAGUAUUCUGGCGGGCAUGCCUGUUCGAGCGUCAUUUCAACCAUCAAGCCCCAGGCCUGUGUUGGGGACCUGCGGCUGCCGCAGGCCCUGAAAACCAGUGGCGGGCUCGCUGUCACACCGGGCGUAGUAGAUUUUAUCUCGCUCUGGGCGUGCUGCGGGUUCCGGCCGUUAAAAAACCCUUUUAACCCAAGGUUGACCUCGGAUCAGGUAGGAAUACCCGCUGAACUUAAGCAUAUCAAUAAGCGGAGGAAAAGAAACCAACAGGGAUUGCCCCAGUAACGGCGAGUGAAGCGGCAACAGCUCAAAUUUGAAAUCUGGCUUCGGCCCGAGUUGUAAUUUGCAGAGGAAGCUUUAGGCGCGGCACCAUCUGAGUCCCCUGGAACGGGGCGCCAAAGAGGGUGAGAGCCCCGUAUAGAUGGACGCCUAGCCUGUGUAAAGCUCCUUCGACGAGUCGAGUAGUUUGGGAAUGCUGCUCAAAAUGGGAGGUAAAUUUCUUCUAAAGCUAAAUAUUGGCCAGAGACCGAUAGCGCACAAGUAGAGUGAUCGAAAGAUGAAAAGCACUUUGAAAAGAGGGUUAAAUAGCACGUGAAAUUGUUGAAAGGGAAGCGCUUGUGACCAGACUUGCGCCGGGCGGAUCAUCCGGUGUUCUCACCGGUGCACUCCGCCCGGCUCAGGCCAGCAUCGGUUCUCGUGGGGGGAUAAAGGCACCGGGAA